UACGUAGGGGGCAAGCGUUGUCCGGAUUUAUUGGGCGUAAAGAGCGUGUAGGCGGCUUGAUAAGUCAGCUGUGAAAACUCGAGGCUCAACCUCGAGACGUCGGUUGAAACCAUCUGGCUAGAGUCCGGAAGAGGAGUGUGGAAUUCCCGGUGUAGCGGUGAAAUGCGCAGAUAUCGGGAAGAACACCCGUGGCGAAGGCGGCACUCUGGGACGGUACUGACGCUGAGACGCGAAAGCGUGGGGAGCGAACAGG
rnacentral:rRNA from 1 species